ACACGGUCGCCGACGUGUUCUUACAGUACUAACAACAUCAAACUGAUCGAUUGAAAGAUAGGAGAUAUGCUUUUGUUUGAAGAAUUAAGAAGAUUCAGAACCAAACAAUAACUAAACCUUCGCCUUACGGGACGACCGGCCCAACAGCAAGUCACCAAUAAUGGGAAAAUCCUCUAAUCCAAGAUGAAUAAUAUCUGGUGGAAGUAUUGUUUUCGUGCCUUUCUUCUUUUAACUCUCAUCUGAUUUGACGAGAAACUCCACAACGACAUAAAAAGGAUCUUAAUUAAUGGGUUUGUUUCUUUUGGAGAUUCUAUGAUGAAACAGCCUUCCACAUAAAACAACUCGUCACCGGAGGAGAGAAAAAGCUCAUUGAUGUUUUCCAACAAGUCAGGCAAGGCGUCCCAUUACUCAAAUUUUUUUUCUCAAUACGUUCGCUUCAGUAGUUCCCCAUCCAUAAGGAUGAUGCUGAAUUAUUGACCCAAACGAUGGAAAACAAAUCCUCUUCUUAUUGCUCUGUGCUACUGAAGUGGAACUGGACAAGGCACCAUAAUUGCCUCAAGCCAAAAUCAGUAAUCACAAAAAUGUAUAAAGGUGAGUCAGUUAUUGUUUCAAAAUCAGCAAGCUCUUCACUCCACAACUCCAGCUUUUGCCUGCACCACAAAGAAGUACACCACGUCUGCCAUAAUUCAAGGAAAACAUAGCUAGCUCUACCAAACUGAUUCAGGAAAAUAGAGCUCUCCAAAAGCAAAAGCUAGAUGAUGCAAAAUCAAGACAAAUUCUCUCAACGACAACAGCAAAACAAGUCAACAACAACAACGGAUAAAACCUCUGGAAACGAGUGUUAAAAAUAGUACUACCUAUCUGAUUCAGGAAAAUCAUAGCCAUCACAAAGGUUAUGAAAAGUAAGAUCACCUUGAGGAACAAAAAGUCCCCCCGGCGUUUUUACAGAACAGCAUCAAACUGAUUCUAAAAGGUUGAUCACAUUGCUCGUGCUGCAUUUGAUAUUGCUAAGCAAAGGGAUCGCAGUUGUGGUGGAAAAUAGUCAUAUCAAUGGCUUUAGAGUAUACUGAGGUUAAAGUGAGUCAUCUCUUGAUUGACACCGCUGUGAUGGAUCUUGUUCGGCACCCAGGACAGUUUGCUGAUAUUCUUUCUGAUGUCGCGGCCAGAGGUUCCCCCAAUUACCAAAAAUGUGCUUCAGCGAGCUGGAUCAUUGGAAGGACUGGAAUUUAGCUUACGGGAGAUGCCUAUUGGAAGAGCUGCUCUGGGAGUUCCCUUUCCGGAGGAGACCAUCGCAGCUGCAAAAGAAUCAGGUGCAGUGCUUCUUGGAGCCAUUGGAGGGUACAAGUGGGAUAACAGUGAAAAGCAUUUGAGGCGUGAGAAGGGGUUACUUCAGCUUCGUGCAGGUCUUAAAGUCUUUGCAAAUCUGAGACCUGCUACAGUUGUGCCAUAGUUAGUGGAUGCUUCCGCCUUGAAGAGAAGGUAGCAGAAGGUGUUGAUCUUAAAUAUUGUAAAAAAUCUUACAUGAGAGCCAAGGGGCAUAAAGACCAAUGAAAACGGCGAAGAAGUUGUGUUUAACAGUGAGGUGUAUGCUACCCUCGAGGCCACUAUUUAAUGGAUGAAACGAGUAACAACACUAGCCUCUGAAUAUGUUGAUGUUGAGCUGUCACAUAUGUAUGUUGACAAUGCUGCGAUGCAGCCAGUUCGUGACCCCAAACAGUUUACACCAUUGCUACAAACAACAAAUUAGGUGAUAUAUUAUUAUCCGGUGAAGCUUCAAUGAAUCACUGGAAUGCUGCCAUCUUCUAGUCUCAGUGAUUCGGUAUAAUAUAAAACAAUCUGAUUUACUAUGCAGCAGUAUGAUCUUGUCUAAAUAUAAACCCUUCAUGCUUAAUACAGCGACCUGGACUCUUUGAACCUUUACAUGGUUCUGCACCUGAUAUUGCUUGACAGGAUAAGACGAACCAAUUGGCAACCAUGCUUCUGAAAUACGGACUUGGAGAAGAAAAGG